rnacentral:miRNA from 15 species
CGGUCGAGGCUAGUGUAAUUCU